AGUGAACGCUGGCGGUAGGCCUAACACAUGCAAGUCGAACGGCAGCACAGUAAGAGCUUGCUCUUACGGGUGGCGAGUGGCGGACGGGUGAGGAAUACAUCGGAAUCUACUUUUUCGUGGGGGAUAACGUAGGGAAACUUACGCUAAUACCGCAUACGACCUACGGGUGAAAGCAGGGGAUCUUCGGACCUUGCGCGAUUGAAUGAGCCGAUGCCGGAUUAGCUAGUUGGCGGGGUAAAGGCCCACCAAGGCGACGAUCCGUAGCUGGUCUGAGAGGAUGAUCAGCCACACUGGAACUGAGACACGGUCCAGACUCCUACGGGAGGCAGCAGUGGGGAAUAUUGGACAAUGGGCGCAAGCCUGAUCCAGCCAUACCGCGUGGGUGAAGAAGGCCUUCGGGUUGUAAAGCCCUUUUGUUGGGAAAGAAAAGCAGCAGGUUAAUACCCCGCUGUUCCGACGGUACCCAAAGAAUAAGCACCGGCUAACUUCGU
rnacentral:rRNA from 1 species